UACGUAGGGCGCAAGCGUUAUCCGGAAUUAUUGGGCGUAAAGAGCUCGUAGGCGGUUUGUCGCGUCUGCCGUGAAAGUCCGGGGCUCAACUCCGGAUCUGCGGUGGGUACGGGCAGACUAGAGUGAUGUAGGGGGAGACUGGAAUUCCUGGUGUAGCGGUGGAAUGCGCAGAUAUCAGGAGGAACACCGGUGGCGAAGGCGGGAUCCUGGGCCAGUACUGACGCUGAGGAGCGAAAGCGUGGGGAGCAAACAGG
rnacentral:rRNA from 1 species